GCGGAUACUUUAGCAGGGCUGCACCGCACAAAGCAACCCAGCCCCAUACAGCA
rnacentral:ncRNA from 1 species